GAGGGGCACAAGGGUGGAAGUGCGGGUAUUGGGACAGGGCCAUGGUCUACUCGUCGUGUCGCGACUCUCCUCUAAUCUAGUACACUGCACAUUACAAAUAAAGCUAUUACGUAAAAAAAAAAAAAAAAAAGGUUUCAGCUGACAGUCAGGAGGAACCAGUCUGUGGGAUAUACAGAUCAGUGGAAUUAACGGAUCUGCGAAUAUGGCACAAAAACAACUCAGCAAAGAAGAGACCCUGACAAUGAGAAAGAAGCUGAUUGGACAGUCGUGUAGACUGUUUUAUUCAGACGAGCCUGUGAAAAUAGUUAGAGCUAGAGGACAAUACCUGUUCGACGAUCAGGACGUGUGUUAUUUGGACUGCAUUAGUAACGUACAGCACGUGGGCCACUGUCACCCCAAGGUCACAAAGGCUGCUGCAGCACAGAUGGACAUCCUGAACACAAACAGCAGAUUCCUGCAUGAUAACAUUGUCCUGUAUGCAGAACGCCUGGCUGCCACCCUGCCGGAGAAGCUGUGUGUCUUUUACUUUGUUAACUCGGGUUCAGAGGCUAAUGAUCUUGCACUACGUUUGGCCCAGCAGUACACCCAACAUGAAGACGUCAUAGUGCUUGACCAUGCAUAUCAUGGGCACCUUAAGUCCCUCAUCGACAUUAGUCCAUACAAGUUCCGAAAACUCGCAGGACAAAAAGAAUGGGUUCAUGUGGCACCCUUACCGGAUACCUACAGAGGCAUAUACAAAGACAAUCACCCCAAUCCAGGCCAGGCAUAUGCCGAUGCUGUAAAGGACAUAAUAACAGAGGUGCACAGAAAGGGGCGAAAGAUCUCUGCAUUCUUUGCAGAGUCGUUGCCAGGUGUUGGAGGACAAAUCGUUUUGCCCAAAGGAUACUCAUCCAAAGUUGCAGAAUAUGUUCAUUCUGCUGGUGGAGUGUUUGUGGCAGAUGAAGUGCAAACAGGAUUUGGACGUGUGGGAAGUCACUUCUGGGCUUUCCAGCUUCAGGGGGAAGAUUUUUGUCCUGACAUUGUGACCAUGGGCAAACCAAUGGGUAAUGGGCAUCCUCUGGCAUGUGUGGCAACCACAGAAGAGAUAGCUGGAGCUUUCACAGCCAAUGGAGUGGAGUACUUCAAUACGUUUGGAGGGAAUCCGGUGUCCUGUGCAGUAGGGCUGGCAGUCCUUGAUGUGAUUGAGGAAGAGGACUUGAGAGGAAAUGCCAUUAGGGUGGGAUCACACCUCAAAGAUUUAUUCAAAAGCCUACAAACACGCCAUCAAAUCAUUGGCGAUGUUCGCCUAAAGAUGUUUGUACGUGAAGAUCUUAGUAGCAGAUUCUGAAAUGACCAAACAAGCCUAGCUGGUGCCAUCGGCUAUGACAUUCAAAAUCAUGAAAGUCACCUUUCGUCCAGUUUUGGGGAGAGAGAGGAGUUGGGCUGUUUUUGGGUGUGGAGCUGGUUACAGACAGACAGCAGAGGACUCCUGCCACACAAAUGGCCGCAGAGGUGGUAAAAAGACUGAAAGAAGAGCGAAUCUGUGUCAGUACAGAUGGCCCCUAUGACAGCGUAUUGAAGUUCAAACCUCCCAUGUGCUUCACUGUGGACAAUGCAGAGCUGGUGGUACGUUGUAUCGAUCGCAUCUUCACAGAUAUAGAAGCCAAAAGCCUAGAAGUGGAAAAAGGAGACAUUUAAGGUCUGUCAAGCCUGUAAAAAAAUGUUUUAAUUGCAUUUGACAAACGGUCAUUCAUAUUCAGAGGUAGAUGGUAAAUGUCCUUAAAAACUUCAUUUUGGAGAACAUGCCAUUUCUUUCCAUUUAAUGACCACUGGGUGGGGCUGGAUAUACAUAUUUCACCUUAGCACUGAAAGGUUAUAAUACAUUUGCACUUUUAAAAUUCCACCACAAAACACUAGAGCAAACAUUUGAGUUUGUUUCUGCUAUUUUUGUGUGAGUACACACUGGUACCAUGCUUCACCCCAUCCACCACACCAGUGAACUGCCUUGAGUCCUAAAUGGCAAUCACCCUGGCAUACCUUCAGCCCAUCCAGACGUCUCAAAAAUUUGACAGAACCAGGUGAAACACUGGCAUUCCAUUGGCUUUCUCUAACCACUGACGUUCUGGGUCAUGCACAGAACACACCACAUUGCUGCUGUUCCCUCACAAUGCAAGAGACUACUCAAGCAAGAUACUCUCCUAGUCUCCCAAAGUAACCACUUGCUCCUUCAUUCCAGCGGUACCCAAGGAUCCAAUGAAGAGACCUUGGACCAAAGAUGUCCAGUCAUCACCUCAUCACUGGUUAUCAAAGUGUCACAACCAUGUAGGACAGAAAACACCAGGACCUUCCAGCAAAAACCUGUCCAAUCACCUCCCCAUUGAACAAGCUUGUCCCAUAUGUCUCCUGCUCUCAAGGCUGAAGAGUCACAGCCCAAAUAAGUGAAUGAAGUUUCUCAGACGAUGCAAUCAAGUUAUCUGUUGGUUCCAGAGAUGACAGAGUCAUCUGUGAAGUAAAGGUCAGCAAAUCAUUCCCUGCCAGACAGAGGCACCCAAGAUACCAGUUUGUACAGACAUACCGAGUAUAACCAGACAUCUCUGAUGUCUUUUUACUGGUUGGGAAUUUUUACUUUAUUCCUUGUUAAAGAAAUUGCCACAACCUUUGGCAACUUUUGUAAGUGGAAUGUAGCGGCCUUCUCUUGAAAGAGCUGCUGUGCACUGAAAAAUUUGAAUAGGGCAUGAAGCAGGGUACACCCUGGACAGGACACCAGUCUGUCACAGGGCCUAUUUAUGUGCAACUUCAUUCAAUUCUUUAAACAGGUUGAAGAGCCAAUUUACUUAGUAGUUGGUUCAGCAAAUUAAUGCUUGA